rnacentral:rRNA from 1 species
CCUACGGGAGGCAGCAGUGGGGAAUAUUGGGCAAUGGUCGCAAGCCUGACCCAGCAACGCCGCGUGAAGGAAGAAGGCUUUCGGGUUGUAAACUUCUUUUCUCAGGGACGAAGCAAGUGACGGUACCUGAGGAAUAAGCCACGGCUAACUACGUGCCAGGAGGCGCGGGGAUACGUAGGUGGCAAGCGUUAUCCGGAUUUACUGGGUGUAAAGGGCGUGUAGGCGGGGACGCAAGUCAGAUGUGAAAACCACGGGCUCAACCUGUGGCCUGCAUUUGAAACUGUGUGUCUUGAGUACUGGAGAGGCAGACGGAAUGCGUGGUGUAGCGGUGAAAUGCGUAGAUAUUAGGAGGAACACCAGUGGCGAAGGCGGUCUGCUGGACAGCAACUGACGCUGAGGCGCGAAAGCGUGGGGAGCAAACAGGAUUAGAUACCCGAGUAGUC